rnacentral:rRNA from 1 species
AGUGAACGCUGGCGGUAGGCCUAACACAUGCAAGUCGAACGGCAGCACAGUAAGAGCUUGCUCUUACGGGUGGCGAGUGGCGGACGGGUGAGGAAUACAUCGGAAUCUACUUUUUCGUGGGGGAUAACGUAGGGAAACUUACGCUAAUACCGCAUACGACCUACGGUUGAAAGCAGGGGAUCUUCGGACCUUGCGCGAUUGAAUGAGCCGAUGUCGGAUUAGCUAGUUGGCGGGGUAAAGGCCCACCAAGGCGACGAUCCGUAGCUGGUCUGAGAGGAUGAUCAGCCACACUGGAACUGAGACACGGUCCAGACUCCUACGGGAGGCAGAAGUGGGGAAGAUUGGACAAUGGGCGCAAGCCUGAUCCAGCCAUACCGCGUGGGUGAAGAAGGCCUUCGGGUUGUAAAGCCCUUUUGUUGGAAAGAAAAGCAGCAGGUUAAUACCCCGCUGUUCUGACGGUACCCAAAGAAUAAGCACCGGCUAACUUCGUG